GUAAAAUCCCAGCAUUUGGCAUAACCAAUGUUUGUUUCAAAUAAGCCAUCCCACCUUGAGAAUGUAUGAGCAAUGAGGGUGAUGAAUAAUGAACUUCUGAAGUUCAAGCUCUAGUCCACCUGAAGAAAACAUCUCUCCUAGAGGUCAAACUUCACCAGUACCCACGGCGAUGCUGAAAUCACAUUUCUGCCUUGCUAAUGUUUUCACUGAAGAAUGAAAUGAACAGGCAGAAACAAUUAAGCGAGCAGAUACAGUGAAAAGGAACGCCACACUGCACUUUCACAGAAAUGGACGUGUAUGAAGGAAUUCUGCUUGGAAUUUGAUCUCACAGCAGCAAAGCCUUUGCUUCUUGUCAUUUCUCUUUUGCCCACCCCCAAUCCACACCAAUUCCCCUUUACAGGGGGAAAAAAGAUCUAGGCACACAAAGGAACUCCUAAAUACUCACAGGCAUGGGAAAUAUUUUCUCUGCCUGUUACUAGUACAGGAUAAUCUCCAAGAAAAAAAAUGUCAUCUAGAUAUUCUAAACUGCAAAUGUCUUCCAAAGCCUGUUAAAUGUUCACAUAUGUCUUUAUGAAAUUUGUAAUAUGGAUUGUUUAUACACUCUUGAUUAUGGGCAUGGACACCAUUAAAAAGGAUCACAUCAGUGUAAAGAUGGAAAAUUAUAAAAUCAGAUAAAAUUGUAACCUACAAGAAAAAAGUGUGUAUUAAAAAAAUAUAAUAAUCUACAACUGUGUAUAUAUAUAAAAAAAUAAAUCAACAGCCAAAAGUGAGCUGUUAAAGACCCUUCUAACUUCUAUGAGGAAUUAACAAGGAAGUAAUUGACUCUCCCCCAAACAAAUCUGCCAUCACAUGUUUAUAGCAUUUUUGUCACUCUAUGAAAGCUGUAUCUUCUUUUUCAGCACCAAAAUGAGAGAUUUUACAUGGCAUUAGCUUGGCAUGCCUAUUUUUGGAUUUACUUUGUUAAAACAGAACUAAGUCAUAUGCUGUAAUACAGAAUAGGUUGGGUAGAGUAUAGCAAGGUAAGGAGGCUGACAGUGAG
ensembl:lncRNA